rnacentral:tmRNA from 1 species
GGGGGCGUAUUAGAUUCGACAAACCUGAAGGAUUCUGAAUUGCAAGCAGUGGAAGCUUAGUCACCACUUAAAUAAUCAAAGCAAAACGAAACGAUAAAAAUAAAGUCGUUUAUAUGUCCGAUUGGAAAAAAUCUAAAGCAGAUCACCGCAAGGUAGUCGCUAUAGGUGACCGUCGAGCUCAACGAGAAGCUGCCUAGUUUCUAGGUAAGACAUACAGAGCGUAAGCUUGGCUACCCGCCCAAGCUCUGAACAAACAUGGUGGCUGCAGUGAGUAAGUUUCUUGGUUUAGUAACUUGCUAAAGAUUAAAAUCAAAACACCGGUGGGUGCUUGACCCGUUGAUCAGCGGCUCUGAUCAAAUUUCAAGACAAGCUUGUAGAUAUUUAGAACCAGUCAUUUUUGGACAGGAGGGGCAGAUCCUCCUCGCCUCCAAAA